UACAGAGGUCUCAAGCGUUGUUCGGAUUCAUUGGGCGUAAAGGGUGCGUAGGCGGCGCGGUAAGUCGGGGUGUGAAAUCUUGGAGCUUAACUCCGAAACUGCAUUCGAUACUGCCGUGCUUGAGGACUGGAGAGGAGACUGGAAUUUACGGUGUAGCGGUGAAAUGCGCAGAUAUCAGGAAGAACACCAAUGGCGAAGGCAGCUCUCUGGGACGGUACUGACGCUGAGACGCGAAAGCGUGGGGAGCGAACAGG
rnacentral:rRNA from 1 species